rnacentral:rRNA from 1 species
GUGGGGAAUCUUCCGCAAUGGACGAAAGUCUGACGGAGCAACGCCGCGUGAGUGAUGAAGGUCUUCGGAUUGUAAAGCUCUGUUAAUCGGGACGAAAGAGCCUAGUGUGAAUAAUGCUAGGAAGUGACGGUACCGGAAUAGAAAGCCACGGCUAACUACGUGUCAGCAGCCGCGGUAAUACGUAGGUGGCAAGCGUUGUCCGGAAUUAUUGGGCGUAAAGCGCGCGCAGGCGGAUCUGCCAGUCUGUCUUAAAAGUUCGGGGCUUAACCCCGUGAUGGGAUGGAAACUACAGAUCUAGAGUAUCGGAGAGGAAAGUGGAAUUCCUAGUGUAGCGGUGAAAUGCGUAGAUAUUAGGAGGAACACCAGUGGCGAAAGCGGCUUUCUGGACGACAACUGACGCUGAGGCGCGAAAGCCAGGGGAGCAAACGGGAUUAGAAACCCUUGUAGUCC